rnacentral:rRNA from 1 species
UGGGGAAUAUUGGACAAUGGAGGGAACUCUGAUCCAGCAAUUCUGUGUGUGUGAAGAAGGUUUUAGGACUGUAAAACACUUUUAGUAGGGAAGAAAAAAAUGACGGUACCUACAGAAGAAGCAACGGCUAAAUACGUGCCAGCAGCCGCGGUAAUACGUAUGUUGCGAGCGUUAUCCGGGAUUAUUGGGCUUAAAGGGCAUCUAGGCGGUAAGACAAGUUGAAGGUGAAAACCUGUGGCUCAACCAUAGGCUUGCCUACAAAACUGUUGAACUAGAGUACUGGAAAGGUGGGUGGAACUACACGAGUAGAGGUGAAAUUCGUAGAUAUGUGUAGGAAUGCCGAUGAUGAAGAUAACUCACUGGACAGAAACUGACGCUGAAGUGCGAAAGCUAGGGGAGCAAACAGG